GAGGCGGGCUUUACUAAGGAAGCCGAGAGGGAAGGACCGUGGGCUGGAUAAGCGGCGAGAUGUGGAUGCAGUGAUAGUUUAUGUACUUCCACAAGUAUACCGACAUGCAAAUUAUAUGUAAAUGACUCGUUUGUAUAAGCCACUGAGUUACUGUAAUUGCCAUCAGUGGCUUCUUCUCCUCCUGUCCUACAGGAUUGAUUCCCUUCCUAAACCAGCCGGUGGGACCCAUGCUGGAAGGCCAGAAAACAAGUGAGAAAAAGAAGGGAUCAGAGAGGAGGACAAUCACCCUCACUUUCCUUCUUCUACUCAUCUUUAAGGACAAUGCCAAGAGCAUGCCCCUGUGGCUUCUGGAAUGGCGCGGUCCAACCGCCUCACUCUUGCACCGUUAGCAGCACCGCUCUGGGCCAAGGUUCUGCUUCCGAGGUCAUCCCCAGCUUGGGCAGCCUUUGGCCUCCAGUGUCCAGUCGCCUUGACCUCAAACAGGCUGGACAAGCCAGGCUAGGAGAGAAAAACAAGACUUCAAGACUAGAGUAGCUCUGCAAACUGAGGAUUUUAUUGUCAAGAUAGCAACUCUCUGGAGCUGGUGAGACGGCUCAUUGGCAUCACGGAGCCUUCCCUGGAAGAGAAGAAAAGGAUAAGUGAGAGGUCAUAUGUGACCAGCUCCCCACCCUAAGAUUUGUGAGUUCAUACCCUAGUGCUCGGAAUAACACACAGACUCAGAGAAGCAGAAGAAAACUUCAAGAUGAUGCCCUCUGCCAGGCUCCUGUGAAGAGCGGGAAGCACCAGACGACCUUUUCCAGUCUCCAAAUACCCAGAAAUACCAUCCCACCUAGCUACUGCUGGUGCUUAAACCUCACCAUCUCCAGUUUCUUUCUUUGCCUUUAGGGCAGCCUCCUCUGACCUCUGGGCUGCAGGCUUAUCUCUGGGGUAGCGACUCUUCAGAUUCCCAGCCGCGCACGGUGGCUCGCUUUUAUCAGAAGUGUGCCUCAGAGUGGGCAGCGGUGAGCAGGGGCUGUGGCCUAACGACUAAGGAUGUGUUUUAAGAAGCGAUUGUUGGGCUGGGGAGACCGGUCAGGUGGUGAAACCCUUGCCAUACAAGCAUGAGGACCGGGAGGGAAUCCCCAGAACACACGUGAAGCUCGGAGCAGUGGCGUGCAUCUGCGGUUCCAGUGCUUCCAAGGAGAGGUGGAAGGUGGAGACGGGGGCCUAGGCUGUUCUCAGGCAGCACCCAGAAACAGGAGACCCUGUCAAAGGAGGUGGGAGGGGGGUUGUCCCAAGGUAGUUCUCCCCCUUCCAAAAAAUGUCCAUGACACACACACCCAAGUUCACAUACCUGAAUGUGCACACACACACACACACACACACACACACACACACACACACAUCAUACACAAAAAGGUAGUAGAAACAAUUAUUGGCUGGAAGUGUGGCCCUGUGGAGGGGCACAUCAUGCCUGAGGCUCUGAGUUCCGUGUCCAGCACAACACAAAAAAUGGGUGAAAAACAUUCGCUUUAUUAUUGACCAGUUUACCUCUAUCCAUAAAUAAACUUUCACAAAUGAAUUUA